CCAGUGCGUAAAGAACUGAAUACCGUGAAUAACCUGUCCAAGAGCAACGGGGAACUGGGAAAGAGUUUUAAAGAAGGGGCUGGCAUGAUUGAUGAGUAGUUUUGAGGGGCAUCCUGGCAACAGCAUGGAGAAUAAUGUUGGGGAAGGAAGUCUGGAGGUGUGGCCGCAGACGGCAGGAGCAGAUGAGCUCAUAAGAAACAAAGAUUUGCUCUGCCGAAUGAUCUAUGUUCAGUCAAGAACAAAGAGCGGCCGCAUAAAUGAGCGGCCGUGUCAACAAAUGGAGCCAUCACUAGCAUACACGUCAGAGUGCGCUCUGUCAGCCAGCAUACACACUCUCUCCAUGUCCGUCCUGUACCCUCGCGGAGAUUUGUAUGAAAGCAAUUUACAGGGCUGGCAGCCAAGACUCCAUUGGCAAGGUGACUCAGAAAAGAACUGCAAUUAUGCAAAUGAUCAAGAAAAAAAAUAAGAAGAGCUACAAGAUCUAGUGUGCCUAAUUGAGGAAGCUGGGCCCACCCAAGAGGAGGAAGAGGUAAAUAAAGAGGUAGUCAGUUGAAGAUCUAUUCUUUCCUUCACUACAAAGAAGGACCAUCAUAAGAAUGUUCUACUCUUCUCACCUUCCCAAAUAAAACUUUCAUGAAUAA